GCACAAUCUUGGCUCACCGCAACUUCCUCCUCCCCGGUUCAAGCGAUUCGUCUGCCUCAGCCCCCGGAACAGCUGGGAUUACAGGCAUGCGCCACCACACCCGGCUAAUUUUGUAUUUUUAGUAGAGACGGGGUUUCUCCAUGUCGGUCAGGCUGGUCUCAAACUCCUGACCUCAGAUGAUCCACCCGCCUCGGCCUCCCAAAGUGCUGGGAUUACAGGCGUGAGCCACUGCCCCUGGCUGGCACUCACCUUUUGUAAUCUUUCCCUUGAGUGUGGUGGGAGCUGUGAAGACGAUGACAUUGUCUUACAUAAGACCCCAUAGUAGCCACAAGACUUCCCUGGUGGCCUGAAGAUGGAAGCUGCGGUAUCGUGAGACCACGGGGGUUCCAUGGUAGGGACAGGGACAUGAAGGUGGCCGCUAGGACCCGAAAGAGAGCCCAGACAACAGCUGGGAAGAAAGCGUGGACUUCAGUCCUACAGCUGUAGAAAUGAAUUCCACCAACAACCAGUGGCUUGGAAGAGGGAGCCUGAGGCUCAGAUGGUAGAGCAGCCACGACCGAUACCUGAUUUCUGCCUGGUGGGACCCUAAGCAGAGACCCCGCCAGCCUUACGUAUACUUCUGACCCACAAAAAAUGUGUGAUGAGUGGGCGUUGUUGUAAGCCACUACACUUAUGGCAAAGUUUUUACACAGCAAUUAAAAAUGAAUACAUCAUGCAUACACACACAAACACACAAAAUGUUUCCAUCUGCCACUUCUGAUACCACAGCUGACACGUCCACCUUGCCCUUUGACCUAGUCACUGGGUCUCUGAGCCAGGGAAAUGAGACCAAAGAAACAGCAGCCAUAGAUCAAGAAUGAGAACGCCUAGUCCCUCGAAAGCAGAGGCUAUGAACUAUUGGCUCAGACACUAAACCUCCCCUGCCCAUACCAUGUUUGGCCCACAGUAAUUUUUCUUAACUUUUUCUUUUGAAAUAAUAAUAGGUUCACAGGAAGUUGCAAAGGUGGCACCGAGAGGUCCCGUGUGCUCUUCACCCAGUUUCCUCCUGUGGUUGCAUCUUAGUUGUACAGAACUUCAUUGUGUGAACGUGCCAUAGUUUACACAGCCGUGCUCUCAGAUAUGAACACGCAGGGAGCAUCCAAACAUUUGAAAUUACAAACAAUGAUGCAGUGCCUAACCUGGUGCCUAUGUAUUUUGGUAUUGCUGAAGCUGUAAUUUCAGCGUAGAUACCUGGAAGAGUGAUUGUCGGUUAGAAAGGUAAGUGCAUAUGCAGUUUUGUUAGGUAUUGCCAAAUUUCCCUUUAAAAGGAUUGUGCCAAUUUGCAUUCUCACAAGAGAUGCUAGUACAAGUGUUGAGACUGACGUGUGGCUAGACGGCUGGAUUGCUGGUUGACAUCUCACCCCGCAGCAUCAAUGUUAGAACCGGCGCUUAUGCGGCUUGCAGUUACUAGAGAGAGCCACUAGAUGGCAGAUACAGCCCAUCACAGACAACAGUGAGCACACCUUUUUCCAGAUUUUGCUUCAGGGGCCUUUGAUAACAAUUGUGUAAGAUGAAGUAAUAGAAUGUUUCUAAAUGACUAAUAACACAACAACUAGCUGUUUUGUAGGUUGCUUUUUGUUUUUUUGAGACAGUCUCGCUCUCUUGGGCAGGCUGGAGUGCAGUAGCGUGAUCUUGGCUCACUGCAGCCUCUACCUAACCUCCGAGUCCGAGUGAUCCUCCUGCCUCAGCCUCCCGAGUAGCUGGACCACCACGCCCAGCUAAUUUUAUUAAUUUUUUGUAGAUACAGGGUUUCACUAUGUUGCCCAGGCUGGUCUCAAACUCCUGGCCUCAAGUGAUCCUUCUGUCUCGGCCUCCCAAAGUGCUGGGAUUACAGGCGUGAGCCACUGCUCAGGCCACAACUAGCAUUUGUAAUACUAGUAGUAACAGUGACAUUAUUUUUAUUAGCAAGUAACAUUUUUCAUUUGAUUAUUCAUUCAUACAAUAAGUGUAUAUUUGUUCUAUGUGCUGUUAUAGGCGCUGGGAUGAAGAGAUUUAAAAACAAACACACACAACCAUCAGCCUGCAUAGAGCUUUCAUUCUCCUGGGGGAGAGAGACAGUAAGGAAAUACAAAAGCCAGAUACAUAGUCUACUGGGGGGCGUAGGUGCUAUGGAGAAAGCACAGAAGGGGAAUAGGGUGUGUGUGCGUACCUGUGUGUACAUAUAUGUGCAUGCGUGCAUGUGUGUGUGUAUGUGGUGAGCAGGGCAGUUAGUUUACAACCUUAAACAAUGUGAUCAGGGAAGGGCUCACUGAGAAGCAGCUGACUGAGAGAGGAAGCUGUAAGGACAAACUGGGAGGGGAGGGUGUACGGCAGGAGGAAUGGGCCAGCAGAGAGCCUGCAGCCGGCGGGAGCAGCCUGGCAUGAUGGAGGCGCCAGUGCAGGGAGAGAGGCGCGAGCAGCGAUGGAGCGGGGUGUGGACCAUGGAGGCCCUGUAGGCUACUGAAAGGACUUUGGAUUUGUCCUCGUGAGAAAGGAGAGCCAUGGGAGAGUAAAUCAAAUCCCUCAGAAGCCCAGAAGGCGGCUGUCCUCAGCUCACUCCUCUCACUGCAGAUCACCCAUUCACCAGGUACUUACUGAUGGCUACCACGGGCCAGAUGUGAUCCCAGGAUUUGAUCAUGAGACGAGCUUGUGUCAGAGUGUGUGAACCAGAGCAACUCCAUCUUAAACAGGAGCUGGGUAAAAUGAGGCUGAGACCUACUGGGCUGCAUUCCCAGAUGGUGAAGGCAUUCUAAGUCACAGGAUGAGAUAGGAGAUCAGCACAAAAUACAGGUCAUAAAGACCUUGCUGAUAAAACAGGUUGCAGUAAAGGAGCCGGCCAAAACCCACCAAAACCAAAAUAGCAAAAAGAGUGACCUCUGGUCAUUCACACUGCUACACUCCCACCAGCACCGUGACAGUUUACAAAUGCCAUGGCAACAUCAGGAAGUUACCCUAUAUGGUCUAAAAGGGGGAGGCAUGAAUAACCCACCCCUUGUUUAGCAUAUCAUCAAGAAAUAACCAUAAAAAUGGACAACCAGCAGCCCUCGGGGCUGCUCUGUCUAAGGAGUAGCCAUUCUUUUAUUCCUUCACUUUCCUAAUAAAC